CCAUCUCUUAUAUAAACCCAAGGCGGUGCAGGUUUAAAUUCAAUGAUCUUAAUAUAAUCAAUUAUAUUUCACAACAUGGUUCGUCCAAUACCAGAGGUUGCAACCAACAACUUCGCCUCAAUGCCGCUAGCAAUCACCUUGUUCGUCUCAGUCUCUGCCCUUGUAGCUUUAUGUGCCAAAGCCAACCAUGUACGCCGCCGUGCCUCGCCCGUAAAACAAACUAAGUCGCCCUCGGCGGCACCUAAGCAACUUGUGGCCAGCCUCAGCAACAAGGCAAUUCCACUCGUCUCCAAAAAUAAAGGGGAAGAAGUUGAAGCAGUGGAUGAUGGGUUUGGAGAAGGAGGGGUGUGGCAGAGGUCAAUUUUGAUGGGAGAAAAGUGCCAGCCACCUGAAUUUUCAGGUGUGAUAUAUUAUGAUGAGUGUGGAAAACAACUUUCUGAGCUGCCACCAAGGUCGCCUAGGGUCGCCAGUCCCUUGCCAAACUUUUUCUCUCCUGCGGCUAGAGAUAUGCGACCUUGCUAGCUAUAGUUGAACUGUGUAGGAUUGGAGAUUGAAGACGAUAGAGGCAUGAAUGGGAACUUGGUGGAGGCGGCUAAGCAGCUAAGUAGAAGAUUUAGAAGUUUUGUAUGUCGUUGGCACUUGGAUCCUCCGUGGCUGAUGCCGUUUUUGGAGGUGGAGACGGAGCCACAGAGUCGAUGAUUUCUUGUGAUGGCUAGUAGAGAUCUUUUUUCUUUUCGAUGGAUUUUUCCACCUUGGGAAAUUUUCAAAUCAAAAGGUUUUUUUUAGAAGUCCAUGUUUGUCAUAUUUUCUUUUUCUUGUUGGUUCAUACUACAUCUAUGUAUUACUUUUUAAUGGUUGGGAAUGAAAUUCAUCUUUAACGAUAUAAAAAAACUGUGUAAGAUUAUUUCCUAGCUGUAUGGUAUCAACAGCAUCGGGAAGGUGUGAAAUGUAAUAAAACCAUUUAUUAUGGUAAACAUGUUUUUUUUCCUUUUAAACAGUAAGUUUAAAUGUCAAAAUGGUCUCUGCGUUUUGUUCUAUAGCCAA